rnacentral:rRNA from 1 species
GUGCCAGCAGCCGCGGUAAUACGUAGGGCGCAAGCGUUGUCCGGAAUUAUUGGGCGUAAAGAGCUCGUAGGCGGCCUGUUGCGUCCGCUGUGAAAUCCCGGGGCUCAACCCCGGGCCUGCAGUGGAUACGGGCUGGCUGGAGGCAGGCAGGGGAGAACGGAAUUCCUGGUGUAGCGGUGAAAUGCGCAGAUAUCAGGAGGAACACCGGUGGCGAAGGCGGUUCUCUGGGCCUGUACUGACGCUGAGGAGCGAAAGCGUGGGGAGCGAACAGGAUUAGAUACCCUGGUAGUCC